UUUAAUUUGUCUGUUAAGUUUUUUUUUUUUUUUUUUUUUUCAGCUUCCUGGACAGAAUUGAGUCUGUAGGACAGAGUGACUACACACCAACAGACCAGGAUUUGCUGAGGUGCCGUGUUCUGACUUCAGGGAUUUUUGAAACUCGAUUUCAAGUAGACAAAGUCAACUUUCAUAUGUUUGAUGUGGGCGGUCAGAGAGAUGAAAGGAGGAAAUGGAUUCAGUGCUUUAACGAUGUGACCGCCAUCAUCUUUGUGGCAGCCAGUAGCAGUUAUAACAUGGUCAUAAGGGAGGACAACAGCACUAACCGGCUGCGCGAGUCUCUUGAUCUGUUCUGCAGCAUCUGGACUAACAGGUUUCACAGUUCAACUAUUUCUUGGGAAUUCUCGGUUUCCAUCCCAAGUGCUGCACAAUUACCCUAAAAUACUAAUAUGCAUUUGUAACAAUAUAACGGUCAAUUAUUGUUAUUAGAGGUUGGUGAUAGGGCUUGGCAAUGUGUUAUAUAUUUUCA